rnacentral:rRNA from 1 species
AUACGUAGGUGGCGAGCGUUGUCCGGAAUUACUGGGUGUAAAGGGCGUGUAGGCGGGGAGGCAAGUCAGAUGUGAAAUUCCAGGGCUCAACCCUGGCGCUGCAUCUGAAACUGUUUCUCUUGAGUACCGGAGAGGAAAGUGGAAUUCCUAGUGUAGCGGUGAAAUGCGUAGAGAUUAGGAGGAGCACCAGUGGCGAAGGCGGCUUUCUGGACGGUAACUGACGCUGAGGCGCGAAAGCGUGGGGAGCGAACAGGAUUAGAUACCCUGGGAGUCCACGCCGUAAACGAUGGAUACUAGGUGUAGGAGGUAUCGACCCCUUCUGUGCCGGAGUUAACACAAUAAGUAUCCCACCUGGGGAGUACGACCGCAAGGUUGAA